CUAGUAACGGCGAGCGAACCGGGAAGAGCUCAAAUUUGAAAUCUGAUGUCCUCUGGUCGUCAGAGUUGUAAUCUACAGAGGCGUUUUCCGCGCCGGUCCGUGUCCAAUUAUCCUUGGAACAGGGUAAUCAAAGAGGGUGACAAUCCCGUAGUUGACACGACCGCCGGUGCUUUGUGAUACGUCUUCUAAGAGUCGAGUUGUUUGGGAAUGCAGCUCAAAACGGGUGGUAAAUUCCAUCUAAGGCUAAAUAUUGGCGAGAGACCGAUAGCGAACAAGUACCGUGAGGGAAAGAUGAAAAGCACUUUGGAAAGAGAGUUAAACAGUACGUGAAAUUGUUGAAAGGGAAACGAUUGAAGUCAGUCGUGUCCGAGGGGUUCAGCCGGUCCUGCCGGUGCAUUCCUCUCGGACGGGUCAACAUCGGUUUUGGCCGGCGGAAAAGGGCGCGAGGAAUGUGGCACCUCCGGGUGUGUUAUAGCCUCGUGUCGCAUACGUCGGCCGAGACCGAGGAACGCAGCUCGCCUUCAUGGCCGGGGUUCGCCCACGUACGAGCUUAGGAUGUUGACAUAAUGGCUUUAAACGACCCGUCUUGAAACACGGACCAAGGAGUCUAACAUAUCUGCGAGUGUUUGGGUGUCAAACCCGAGCGCGUAAUGAAAGUGAACGUAGGAGGGAUCCGCAAGGAGCACCUUCGACCGAUCCGGAUCUUCUUU
rnacentral:rRNA from 1 species